rnacentral:rRNA from 1 species
GGACGAACGCUGGCGGCGUGCCUAAUACAUGCAAGUCGAACGGUCUUUCUAUGGAAGCUUGCUCCACUGAGAAGAUAGUGGCGAACGGGUGAGUAACACGUGGGUAACCUGCCCAUAAGAGGGGGGAUAACAUCCGGAAACGGGUGCUAAUACCGCAUAGUUUCUUGAUCGCAUGAUCGGGAAGGAAAGACGGCCUUUGUGCUGUCGCUUAUGGAUGGACCCGCGGCGUAUUAGUUAGUUGGUGAGGUAACGGCUCACCAAGACGAUGAUACGUAGCCGACCUGAGAGGGUGAUCGGCCACAUUGGGACUGAGACACGGCCCAAACUCCUACGGGAGGCAGCAGUAGGGAAUCUUCCGCAAUGGACGAAAGUCUGACGGAGCAACGCCGCGUGAGUGAAAGAAGGUUUUCGGAUCGUAAAACUCUGUUGUCAGAGAAGAACAAGUUGGAGAGUAACUGCUCCAGCCUUGACGGUAUCUGACCAGAAAGCCACGGCUAACUACGUGCCAGCCGCCGC